rnacentral:pre_miRNA from 2 species
GCUAGGAAGAGGAAGAAAGAGAGGGCCUAAGAGCAAUGGGAAUGAGAACAUAGAGGAAAAACUAAUCGGUUCUUCACCUCUUGUGUUGAGUUAUAAAUCCUGCUUGGUAUUUCCCAAUGCCUCUCAUUCCUAUCGUUCUUAAGCACCUCCUUCCUCUUUCUUUUUGUU